rnacentral:rRNA from 1 species
CAGUAGCCGCGGUAAUACAGAGGGUGCAAGCGUUAAUCGGAAUUACUGGGCGUAAAGCGCGCGUAGGUGGUUUGUUAAGUUGGAUGUGAAAUCCCCGGGCUCAACCUGGGAACUGCAUCCAAAACUGGCAAGCUAGAGUAUGGUAGAGGGUGGUGGAAUUUCCUGUGUAGCGGUGAAAUGCGUAGAUAUAGGAAGGAACACCAGUGGCGAAGGCGACCACCUGGACUGAUACUGACACUGAGGUGCGAAAGCGUGGGGAGCAAACAGGAUUAGAGACCCCGGUAGUCCCUGUCUCUUAUAC